rnacentral:rRNA from 1 species
GCGAACCGGGGGAACUGAAACAUCUAAGUACCCCGAGGAAAAGAAAUCAACCGAGAUUCCGAAAGUAGCGGCGAGCGAAAUUGGACUAGCCCUUAAGCUUUACACGCGUUAGACGAACGGUCUGGAAAGUCCGACGAUACAGGGUGAUAGUCCCGUAGUUGACGACGUGUGUUCAGUGAAAUCGAGUAGGGCGGGACACGUGAUAUCCUGUCUGAAUAUGGGGGGACCAUCCUCCAAGGCUAAAUACUACUGACUGACCGAUAGUGAACCAGUACCGUGAGGGAAAGGCGAAAAGAACCCCUGUGAGGGGAGUGAAAUAGAACCUGAAACCGUGUACGU